rnacentral:lncRNA from 1 species
CAGAGGCCUGUGAGGACCCAGGGGAGGCAGAGGGGAGAGAGGUGCUCCAGCCUCUUCAUUGCCAAUGACCCUUCCUUCUUGACCCCAUCGCAGGCAGGGGUGUGGGGAAGAACGAGGAACUGCGUCUUUAUCACCAUCUCUUCAACAACUAUGACCCAGGAAGCCGGCCAGUGCGGGAGCCUGAGGAUACUGUCACCAUCAGCCUCAAGGUCACCCUGACGAAUCUCAUCUCACUGAAUGAAAAAGAGGAGACUCUCACCACUAGCGUCUGGAUUGGAAUCGAUUGGCAGGAUUACCGACUCAACUACAGCAAGG